AGUGAACGCUGGCGGUAGGCCUAACACAUGCAAGUCGAACGGCAGCACAGUAAGAGCUUGCUCUUACGGGUGGCGAGUGGCGGACGGGUGAGGAAUACAUCGGAAUCUACUUUUUCGUGGGGGAUAACGUAGGGAAACUUACGCUAAUACCGCAUACGACCUACGGGUGAAGGCAGGGGAUCUUCGGACCUUGCGCGAUUGAAUGAGCCGAUGUCGGAUUAGCUAGUUGGCGGGGUAAAGGCCCACCAAGGCGACGACCCGUAGCUGGUCUGAGAGGAUGAUCAGCCACACUGGAACUGAGACACGGUCCAGACUCCUACGGGAGGCAGCAGUGGGGAAUAUUGGACAAUGGGCGCAAGCCUGAUCCAGCCAUACCGCGUGGGUGAAGAAGGCCUUCGGGUUGUAAAGCCCUUUUGUUGGGAAAGAAAAGCAGCAGGUUAAUACCCCGCUGUUCUGACGGUACCCAAAGAAUAAGCACCGGCUAACUUCGUG
rnacentral:rRNA from 1 species